rnacentral:tRNA from 1 species
GCCUCUGUAGCUCAACUGUCAAAGCACUGGUCUUGUAAACAAGUGGUCGUGAGUUCAAUCCUCGCAGGAGGCA